AUUGAACGCUGGCGGCAGGCCUAACACAUGCAAGUCGAGCGAGCGGCGGACGGGUGAGUAAUGUCUGGGAAACUGCCUGAUGGAGGGGGAUAACUACUGGAAACGGUAGCUAAUACCGCAUACCAUCAGAGGUGCCCAGAUGGGAUUAGCGAGUAGGUGGGGUAACGGCUCACCUAGGCGAAGAGCCCUAGCUGGUCUGAGAGGAUGACCAGCCACACUGGAACUGAGACACGGUCCAGACGCUGACGGGAGGCAGCAGUGUGGAAGAUUUCACAAUGGGCGAAAGCCUGAUGCAGCCAUGCCGCGUGUGUGAAGAAGGCCUUCGGGUUGUAAAGCACUUUCAGCGGGGAGGCGUUACCCGCAGAAGAAGCACCGGCUAACUCCGUGCCAGCAGCCGCGGUAAUAC
rnacentral:rRNA from 1 species